AGAGUUUGAUCAUGGCUCAGAUUGAACGCUGGCGGCAGGCCUAACACAUGCAAGUCGAACGGUAACAGGAAACAGCUUGCUGUUUCGCUGACGAGUGGCGGACGGGUGCGUAAUGUCUGGGAAGCUGCCUGAUGGAGGGGGAUAACUACUGGAAACGGUAGCUAAUACCGCAUAACGUCGCAAGACCAAAGAGGGGGACCUUCGGGCCUCUUGCCAUCGGAUGUGCCCAGAUGGGAUUAGCUAGUAGGUGGGGUAACGGCUCACCUAGGCGACGAUCCCUAGCUGGUCUGAGAGGAUGACCAGCCACACUGGAACUGAGACACGGUCCAGACUCCUACGGGAGGCAGCAGUGGGGAAUAUUGCACAAUGGGCGCAAGCCUGAUGCAGCCAUGCCGCGUGUAUGAAGAAGGCCUUCGGGUUGUAAAGUACUUUCAGCGGGGAGGAAGGGAGUAAAGUUAAUACCUUUGCUCAUUGACGUUACCCGCAGAAGAAGCACCGGCUAACUCCGUGCCAGCAGCCGCGGUAAUACGGAGGGUGCAAGCGUUAAUCGGAAUUACUGGGCGUAAAGCGCACGCAGGCGGUUUGUUAAGUCAGAUGUGAAAUCCCCGGGCUCAACCUGGGAACUGCAUCUGAUACUGGCAAGCUUGAGUCUCGUAGAGGGGGGUAGAAUUCCAGGUGUAGCGGUGAAAUGCGUAGAGAUCUGGAGGAAUACCGGUGGCGAAGGCGGCCCCCUGGACGAAGACUGACGCUCAGGUGCGAAAGCGUGGGGAGCAAACAGGAUUAGAUACCCUGGUAGUCCACGCCGUAAACGAUGUCGACUUGGAGGUUGUGCCCUUGAGGCGUGGCUUCCGGAGCUAACGCGUUAAGUCGACCGCCUGGGGAGUACGGCCGCAAGGUUAAAACUCAAAUGAAUUGACGGGGGCCCGCACAAGCGGUGGAGCAUGUGGUUUAAUUCGAUGCAACGCGAAGAACCUUACCUGGUCUUGACAUCCACAGAACUUUCCAGAGAUGGAUUGGUGCCUUCGGGAACUGUGAGACAGGUGCUGCAUGGCUGUCGUCAGCUCGUGUUGUGAAAUGUUGGGUUAAGUCCCGCAACGAGCGCAACCCUUAUCCUUUGUUGCCAGCGGUCCGGCCGGGAACUCAAAGGAGACUGCCAGUGAUAAACUGGAGGAAGGUGGGGAUGACGUCAAGUCAUCAUGGCCCUUACGACCAGGGCUACACACGUGCUACAAUGGCGCAUACAAAGAGAAGCGACCUCGCGAGAGCAAGCGGACCUCAUAAAGUGCGUCGUAGUCCGGAUUGGAGUCUGCAACUCGACUCCAUGAAGUCGGAAUCGCUAGUAAUCGUGGAUCAGAAUGCCACGGUGAAUACGUUCCCGGGCCUUGUACACACCGCCCGUCACACCAUGGGAGUGGGUUGCAAAAGAAGUAGGUAGCUUAACCUUCGGGAGGGCGCUUACCACUUUGUGAUUCAUGACUGGGGUGAAGUCGUAACAAGGUAACCGUAGGGGAACCUGCGGUUGGAUCACCU
rnacentral:rRNA from 1 species